GAAUAUUGGUCAAUGGACGAAAGUCUGAACCAGCCAUGCCGCGUGCAGGAAGACUGCCCUACGGGUUGUAAACUGCUUUUAUAUAGGAAUAAACCCUCGUUCGUGAACGAGGCUGAAGGUACUAUAAGAAUAAGGACCGGCACACUCCGUGCCCGCAGCCGCGGUAAUACGGAGGGUCCAAGCGUUAUCCGGAUUUAUUGGGUUUAAAGGGUCCGCAGGCGGGAGAAUAAGUCAGUGGUGAGAUCCUGUCGCUUAACGAUAGAACUGCCAUUGAUACUGUUUUUCUUGAGUAUAGAUGAAGUGGGCGGAAUGUGUCAUGUAGCGGUGAAAUGCAUAGAUAUGACACAGAACACCGAUUGCGAAGGCAGCUCACUAAACUAUAACUGACGCUCAUGGACGAAAGCGUGGGGAGCGAACAGG
rnacentral:rRNA from 1 species